AUGUAUCCCCUGGGUAAAUUCCUUUAAAAGGGAUUACUGAGUCAAGAGUGAAUUCUACCAAGAGUCUCUGUGGCUCUAUUAAUGAAGCCCGGAAUGAGUGCUUUUCAGCAGUUGCAUCGAAUUUGCUCGUUUUAAGUUUGUAAGUGGCAAAUAUUCCCAAAUCUUUCUCACCUAAACGACAUCAGCUUCCCAGAUUUACAAUUAGUUUAAAUGGACCCAGGUUAAGAAAUAUGAUAUUGUCAGCACCAUAGAAGAUAGGCUUUUAGGUACUAUCCUUUAUCCCAUGCACUUCCCUCCCUGGUUCAGGAAUCACUGUCAUGGCUUCUGUGAUGGUGGUUCUCUUUCCAUCUUUACAGUUUACCAAGUAUGUGUGCAUGAGGUUUAGUUUUGCCUGUUUUGGAACUUUAUAUAAAUGGAAUCAUGCUGUAUGUAUUAUUUUAUAAUUUACUUCUUUUUCUCAAAGUUAUGUUUGUGAGGUUCAUCUCCAUUGAAUAUGUAGCUGUAGUUUGUUCAUUAUUAUUGCUGUAGCAUAUUCCGUUGUAUGAAUAUUUUAAAAUUUAUUUAUCUA